rnacentral:lncRNA from 1 species
GGUAAAACGGCAGUGCCACAGGUUAAAUGAUCUCAAUGGUUCCUCCACAGACCUUUGAAGAAGGCCUCAAGUCUUCAGGAGAAACCAUUUCCUGACCUAAGGCAAAGUGUCCCUGUUUUGGAAGAGAGGAGAGAACAUGCAAACUUCACAUCAGGCUUAAGCAGGCUUUCUGCGGAUUGAAUCCUCCAGAAGUCAAUAGAGAAGCAGUUCGCAGUCUGGAGCGAUUUCAAGGAGUCUUCAAAUCUUCAAAGAUUUCCUUCUUUCCCAAGGAAGAGGAGCAAAGAAGCAGUGCCUCCCCUGGAGAGUGUUAAAGGAGAGCAACGCAGAGCUACAGAUAUUGAACUAAAUUCAGGAGCCUGUUCAUGAGCCAAGCCCAUUUUUUAACCAGGAAUAAGCCCCUCUAGGGUGAAGAAAGUCCUGAGUAAUCCUUCGGAAGAAGUAGCAGCUGACCUGGGAAAUGCUGCAAUUCGUCGGGGUCAGGCAGAGCAAAGCAUCAGGCCAUGUGCCGUGGGCUGGCAGAAAUGGAGAUGCUCAGUAAGUGAUGUUGUGAUGUGCUGGAAAACAGGUGAGCAGGGACGAACAUGUGGGAAAACAGUGGAAUCCAGG